GACGAACGCUGGCGGCGUGCUUAACACAUGCAAGUCGAGCGGUAAGGCCCUUCGGGUACACGAGCGGCGAACGGGUGAGUAACACGUGGGUGACCUGCCUCUAGCUCUGGGAUAAGCCUGGGAAACUGGGUCUAAUACCGGAUAUGACUCCACGGCGCAUGUUGUGGGGUGGAAAGCCUUGUGCGGCUAGAGAUGGGCCCGCGGCCUAUCAGCUUGUUGGUGGGGUGAUGGCCUACCAAGGCGACGACGGGUAGCCGGCCUGAGAGGGCGACCGGCCACACUGGGACUGAGACACGGCCCAGACUCCUACGGGAGGCAGCAGUGGGGAAUCUUGCGCAAUGGGCGAAAGCCUGACGCAGCGACGCCGCGUGAGGGAUGAC
rnacentral:rRNA from 1 species